rnacentral:rRNA from 1 species
UACGUAGGGUGCGAGCGUUGUCCGGAAUUACUGGGCGUAAAGAGCUCGUAGGUGGUUUGUCGCGUUGUUCGUGAAAACUCACAGCUCAACUGUGGGCGUGCGGGCGAUACGGGCAGACUUGAGUACUGCAGGGGAGACUGGAAUUCCUGGUGUAGCGGUGAAAAUGCGCAGGAUAUCAGGAGGAACACCGGUGGCGAAGGCGGGUCUCUGGGCCGAUACUGACGCUGGAUGUGCGAAAGCUAGGGGAGCGAACGGG